rnacentral:lncRNA from 1 species
CACCAGCCGGAAUAGCAACCGGCGGAGCCCGUGCGCACCGCAGCGCAGCGCAGCGGCCGGGGGGUGCGGGCGCCCUCGCCGCCCGGCUACCUACCGCCGCCUGGGCGCCGCCGCUGCCUCCCUUCCCCGCUUCUACCCUCCAGCAGACGCCCGCCGGAGCGACCCCUCCCAGGGUGACCGGGGGAAGGUGUUCCACGUGGCCAUAGCGUUUGCGUCACAAUGACCUGGCGGACAGGUGGGAGCCACAGCGUACACCCCAGGGUUCCCUCUGUGCUGUGCGUAGUGCCUACUGCUUGCUUCCAGGUUAAAUUUCUGUAGCUUUAGAGGACAGGAGACUUCAUGACUUCACUGCCAAGAAAAGUUACAGAGGCCUGCUGUACCUGGAAAUCAAGUUUGAGCUUCGAGAAUAAAGGUCAUGUUUUAAAAACAGCUGUAACACCAGUAAGGUGCUAGUGAGAACCCGAAACAGUUUCUAAGGAGAAUGGCUAUUGAAUGAUGGGAUCAGAAAUUAGGAGAGAAAUAAGGACCCUGGGCCAGGGAAAGAAAUGAAUGAAGAUGCCACCUUAUGCCCAGAACACAUCUCUCAUUCAAUGAUAAAGGAUUUGUGGUUGGGUCAACUUUUGUGAUGCUCAACUCUUUCCUUCGUAAGGACGGGCUCUUUCUCAGGAGGCUUUUGUACUCCCAAUUAACGCACUGCUAAUCUGAUGAAGCUCUAUUUUGUAGCUAUGCCAUCUGGAUCACAUAGCCUCCAAGGCCAGCAGAGCAGAGGAAGACAAAGAGCAGAGCAAGAUAGAGGUGGAAGUUACACGUCCUUUGUGCUUACUUUCUACUGGCCUCAUCGGGUCGCAAGAUCCCACUCUGAUAGGUGCAUGGGGGCUUGGAAAAUUAGAAAAACAUGUGAAUAUUUGCAAUGCUUUCAGUAACCUGGAGAGGUACACAUGGCUGGUAUAACAAUUAUCUUCAUUUAAUGAUGUGGAAACACCUACCACAAGUCCUGGCACAUUGAGGGUCUUGAAUAAAUUCUGUCAGAUGAACGGACAAGCGCACAAAAGGUUGAAAGAGUGAAUGAGGCACAAUUGUGAUAUUCAACGAGAGUAGUGCGAAGUGCCACUUUACAGCCAAACAUUCAAUUCCUCCUAAUUCACAAGGGAGAGAGGGAUCAAGUUGUGCAGCUGGGAGGUGAUGUUUCUUCCCAGCAGCUGUCAUUGAGGAGACACGUGCAAACCAUAGAAGUCAUUUGUCACAAGAACCCCAUCCAGAAUUUGCUAUGUGCGUCUCACUUGCUAACGUGACAUGAAAUACUGAAGCUUUCAAAAAUCAAGUACAGAGACUUUGUUGUGUUGACAUGGGCAAAAUGAAAUGAAGAGCUGAGGCAAUUAUGUGGAUAAAUCAGGCCAAAAAUAUCCAACCAUUGAGAGGAAAAAGUUCCUUUGGCUCAAAUUAUUCAGAGUGACUGUCCAUGUUCAUCAAUUUAUCAGGAUAAUGAAUUUUAUCCUAUACUUUACUUUGUCACUAUAGAUAUAUCUUUAGUCUAUGAAUUUGAAUGACUUUGUGAUAUUUUACUUCACUGAAAAUUAUAAUAGGGGUUGAAUGAGCAAGCACCGUGUUAAAAGAUUGCUACUGCAGCUAUGAUAAUAGUCCAGGAGAUUUUAAACCCCGUUAUUCAAUAGCUAGCAGACAUAGUUAUUGGAAUGGGGGUAGAGAGGGAGACACGAAAUCUGUUGAGAAUCAAAUGCUUGUAACUAAUCUGUCUUUCCCAUUUAGCAUCCUAUUAUCCAAAAAUAUCUUGGUCUGUAGCUCCCACCUGGUUUCCUGGUCAUUUGACUACUGGUUAAAUGAGCCUGAAAAUUUCAUCAGGUUUCAUAUAAAGAAUAAUAUAUUAUAGUUACAUACAUAUAAAUGUAUAUCUUUGUGUAUUUUUAAUAUCCCUUAUUUAUCUACAAAGAGAUGAAUGUUUGAAAUAUGUGACGGAUAAGCAAGGUCAAUUCUUGUGUCUGCUCAUGCAUUGGCAUUGAGCUUUCUGCUUGGAGUCCUUAGCAUAUUCCGCACUUGAGCCAUCCUUCUUGUUUCUUCAUACUUCCAGAGCCACUAGAAUCACAGGCAAAAGGGCAGGAGCUUCUCCUUGGGGCAGAGGGAGAACCUCUGAGCAUUACCCUGGGUGGUUUGGUCCUGCCAGAGUCUCUUAAACAUUAGAGACAACUCACCAUUUGGAAGUUACAAAUCAUGAAAGUGCUCACUGAAGCAAAAUAAUACCACAUAAGAAAUAAAUGCCUAAUGUUGAUGAACAUUUUAAUCUUUAUUAUAAAAUUAUAACACAAAGAAGAAUCCUGAAGAAUGACCCUAAAGCUUUUGUCACAAUAGCAUUGUAAUGGAAAUACAGGUGUGUUUUCUUUUCUUUCUUUUUUCCUUUUUUGAGACAGGGUCUUGCUUUGUCACCCAGGGUGGUGUGCAGUGGAGCUAUCAUGGCUCACUGUAGCCUCGACCUCCUGGGCUCAAGCAAUCCUCCCACCUCAGCCUAUUGGGCAGCUGGGACUACAGGCAUGCAUAACCACAUCCAGCUAAUUUUUUGUAGAGAUGGGGUUUCUCCAUGUAUUGCCCAGGCUGGUCUCGAACUCCUUGGCUCAAGUGAUUCUCCCACCUUAGCCUCCCAAAGUGCUGGGAUUACAAGCAUGAGCCACCACACCUGGCCUAUGUGUGUUUUAUGAUUAAAAAAGAAAUACAUACAAUUAUUGGGACAGAACAAAAUAAAGAGAAAAAUACAAAUUACCUGUAAUUCAACUAUCCAGAGAUAAUUAUUUUUUACGGACUGAAUGAUGUUCUCCAAAAUUCAUAUGUUGAAGCCCUAGCCCCUAAUGUGAUUAAUAUGGUUUGGCUGUGUCCCCACCCAAAUCUCAUCUUGAAUUGUAACUCCCACAAUUCCCAUGUGUUGUGGGAAGAAACUAAUGGGAGGUAAUUGAAUCAUGGGGACGGGUCUUUCCCAUGCUGUUCUUAUGAUAGUGAAUAAGUCUCACGAGAUCUGAUGGCUUUAAAAAAUGGGAGUUUUCCUGUAUAAGCUCUCCCUCUCUUUGCCUGCUGCCAUCCAUGUAAGACAUGACUUUUUCCUCCUUGCCUUCCACCAUGAUUGUGAGGCCUCGCCAGCCAUGUGGAACUGUAAGUCCAUUAAAUGUCUUUCUUUUGUAAGUUGCCCAGUCUCAGGUAUGUCUUUAUCAGCAGUGUGAAAAUGAACUAAUACAGUAAAUUGGUACCAGUAGAGUGGGUUGCUGCUGUAAAUACCCGAAAAUGUGAAAACGACUUUGGAACUGGGUAACAGGCAGGGGUUGGAACAGUUUGGAGGGCUCAGAAGAAGACAGGAAAACGUGGGACAGUUUGGAACUUCCUAGAGACUUGUUGAAUGACUUUGCCCAAAAUGCUGAUAGUGAUAUAGACAAUGAAGUCCAGCCUGAGGUGGCUUCAGAUGGAGAUGAGGAACUUCUUGGGAACUGGAGCAAAGGUGACUCUUGUUAUGUUUAGCAGCAUUUUGCCCCUGGGCAUUUUGCCCCCAUCCUAGAGCUUUGUGGAACUUUGAACUCGAGAGAGAUAAUUUUGGGUAUCUGGCAGAAGAAAUUUCUAAGCAGCAAAGCAUUCCAGAGGUGACCUGGUUCACCACUUGGGUGCUGUUAAAGGCAUUCAGUUUCAAAAGGGAAAUGGAGAAUAAAAGUUCAGAAAACUUGCAGCCUGACAAUGUGAUAGAAAAGAAAAUCCCAUUUUCUGAGGAGAAAUUCAAGCUGGCUGCAGAAAUUUGCAUAAGUAAUGAGGAGCCAAAUGUUAAUCCCCAAGACAAUGGGGAAAAUGUCUCAAGGGCAUGUCAGAGGUCUUCACAGCAGCCCCUCUCAUCACAGGCCCAGAGGCCAAGGAGGAAAAAGUGGUUUUGUGGGCUGGGCCCAGGGUGCCUCGCUGUGUGCAGUCUAGGGACUUGGUGUCCUGCAUCCCAGCUGCUCCAGCCAUGACUAAAGGGGCCAAGGUACAGCUCAGAUUGUUGCUUCAGAGGGUACAAGCCCCCAGCCUUGGCAUCUUCCAUGUGGUGUUGAGCCUGUGUGUGCACAGAAGUCAAGAAUUGAAGUUUGGGAACCUCUGCCUAGAUUUCAGAGGAUGUAUGGAAAUGCCUGGAUGCCCAGGCAGAAGUUUGCUGCAGGGGCAGGGCUCUCAUGGAGAACCCCUAUGAGGGCAAUGCAAAAGGGAAAUGUGGGGUUGGAGUCCCCACACAGAUCUCUACUGAGACACCACCUAGUGGAGCUGUGAGAAGAGGGUCAUCACUAUCCUCCAGAACCCAGAAUGCUAGAUCCACCAACAGCUUACACUGUUUGCCUGAAAAAGCCACAGACACUCAAUGCCAGCCUGUUAAAGCAGCUGGGAGGGAGUCUGUACCCUUCAAAGCCUGGAUGUGAGACAUCGAGUUAAAGGAGAUCAUUUGGAGCUUUAAGAUUUGACUACCCCACAGGAUUUCAGACUUGCAUGGGGCUUGUAGCCCCUUUGUUUUAGCCAAUUUCUCUCAUUUGGAAUGGCUGUAUUUACCCAAUGCCUGAACCCCCACUGUAUCUAGGAAGUAACUAAUUUGCUUUUGAUUUUAUAGGCUCAUAGGCUGAAGGGACUUGCUUUGUCUGAGACUGUGGACUUUUGAGUUAAUGCUGAAAUGAGUUAUGACUUUGGAGGAAUAUUAGAAAGGCGUGAUUGGAUUUGAAAUGUGAGGACAUGAGAUUUGGAAGGGGCCAGGGGUGGAAUGAUAUGGUUUGGCUGUGUCCCCACCCAAAUCUCAUCUCUAAUUGUAACUUCCACAAUUCCCAUGUAUGAUGAGAGGAAACAGUGGGAGGUAAUUGAAUCACAGGGACGGGUCUUUCCCAUAUUGUUCUUGUGAUAGUGAAUAAGUCUCAUGAGCUCUGAAGGCUUUACAAAUGAGAGUUUCCCUUCACAAGCCCUCUCUCUCCCUCUCUUUGCCUGCUGCCAUCCAUGUAAGACAUGAUUUGUUCCUCCUUGUCUUCCACCAUGAUUGUGAGGCUCCCCAGCCAUGUGGAAGUGUAAGUCCAAUUAAACCUCUUUCUUUUGUAAAUUGCCCAGUCUUGGGUAUGUCUUUAUCAGCAGCAUGAAAACGGACUAAUACAGUGAUAGUAUUUGAAAAGGGGCCUUUGGGAGGUAAACAAGGUUAAACAAGGUCAUGAGGACCCUAAUCCAAUAGGAUUUGUGCCCUUAUGAAAACAGGGAGAGACAAACCAGAGCUCAUUGGCUAUCUCUUCCAUGUUGGGACACACAAAGAAGAUGGCCAUCUCCAAGACAGAAAUGUGAUCAUGCUGGCACCUUGACCCUGAACUUCUAGCCUUUGGAACUGUGAAAAUAAAUUUGUUUUUUACGCCACCCAGUCUAUGGUAUUUUGUUAUGGUAGUCCAAGCUGACUAACACACCACUGUUAAUAUUUUUACAUCCUUUUAUAUUUUAAUAUUAUUCUAUACUAAAAUAUAUAUCUAUCCAUCAACCCAUCCAUCCUUACGUACCUAUAAAGAUGGUGCUAUACGCAAUGGUUUACAU